rnacentral:sRNA from 1 species
GAAGGACCUGUGACAUGAAGGACCUGGGCUUCAGCAGGUCUAGCACAUACCGCUCCAAGGGCUUUGACGUCACAGUGAAGUACACACAAGGAAGCUGGACGGGUUUCGUUGGGGAAGACUUCGUCACCAUCCCCAAAGGCUUCAAUACUUCUUUUCUUGUCAACAUUGCCACUAUUUUUGAAUCAGAGAAUUUCUUUUUGCCUGGGAUUAAAUGGAAUGGAAUACUUGGCCUAGCUUAUGCCACACUUGCCAAGCCAUCAAGUUCUCUGGAGACCUUCUUCGACUCCCUGGUGACACAAGCAAACAUCCCCAACGUUUUCUCCAUGCAGAUGUGUGGAGCUGGAUUGCCCGUUGCUGGAUCUGGGACCAACGGAGGUAGUCUUGUCUUGGGUGGAAUUGAACCAAGUUUGUAUAAAGGAGACAUCUGGUAUACCCCUAUUAAGGAAGAGUGGUACUACCAGAUAGAAAUUCUGAAAUUGGAAAUUGGAGGCCAAAGCCUUAAUCUGGACUGCAGAGAGUAUAACGCAGACAAGGCCAUCGUGGACAGUGGCACCACGCUGCUGCGUCUGCCCCAGAAGGUGUUUGAUGCAGUGGUGGAAGCUGUGGCCCGCGCAUCUCUGAUUCCAGAAUUCUCUGAUGGUUUCUGGACUGGGUCCCAGCUGGCGUGCUGGACGAAUUCGGAAACACCUUGGUCUUACUUCCCUAAAAUCUCCAUCUACCUGAGAGACGAGAACUCCAGCAGGUCAUUCCGUAUCACAAUCCUGCCUCAGCUUUACAUUCAGCCCAUGAUGGGGGCCGGCCUGAAUUAUGAAUGUUACCGAUUCGGCAUUUCCCCAUCCACAAACGCGCUGGUGAUCGGUGCCACGGUGAUGGAGGGCUUCUAUGUCAUCUUCGACAGAGCCCAGAAGAGGGUGGGCUUCGCAGCGAGCCCCUGUGCAG